AUGAUAAUAACUCAACAUUCACAAACGGAAUGGCAUCCGACACAAUUAAUUCAGCAUAAUCCAACACUACUACAGAAUCAAACACAAUUAUAUAAACAAAUCAGCAACUCAAUUGAACAAAAUCGAGAAAAAAUAAUUACCGGGAUGUCUAAUUCAUCAGAAGAAAUGAAGUUGUUGUUUGUUGUUGAACGGCGACGGAAGUUAGCAAGCAAGUUGUUGUUGAAACUGUUGUAUCUGGAGCAGUGGAAAUUUUACAGGGGUACUAACGACGCUGGAAUUGGGUAG